rnacentral:rRNA from 1 species
AUUGAACGCUGGCGGCAGGCCUAACACAUGCAAGUCGAACGAGUAGCGGACGGGUGAGUAAUGGCUGGGAAACUGCCUGAUGGAGGGGGAUAACUACUGGAACCGGUAGCUACUACCGCCUACCAUCAGUUGUGCCCAGAGGGGAUUAGCUUGUUGGUGGGGUAACGGCUCACCAAGGCGACGAUCCCUAGCUGGCCUGAGAGGAUGACCGGCCACACUGGAACUGAGACACGGCCCAGACUCCUACGGGAGGCAGCAGUGGGGAAGAUUGGACAAUGGGCGAAAGCCUGACCGAGCCACGCCGCGUGAGUGAAGAAGGUCUUCGGGUUGUAAAGUUCUUUUAGCGGGGAGGCGGUACCUGCUGAAUAAGCAACGGCUAACUCCGUGCCAGCGGCCGCGGUAAUAC